AAGACCCUUGGAAAGGCCUGU
rnacentral:piRNA from 1 species